rnacentral:rRNA from 1 species
UUCUCGCCUAAACAUGAGAAGUAAUUCCUGCCCAGUGACUAAGUUCAACGGCCGCGGUAUCCUAACCGUGCAAAGGUAGCAUAAUCACUUGCCCAUUAAUUGUGGGCUAGAAUGAAAGGACCAACGAAAUAAAGACUGUCUCUAUAAGACACCUAAAAAUUAAUCUCUAACUGAAGACUGUUAGAUUCCGUCGAAGGACAAGAAGACCCUAUAGAGCUUUAUUUUAAUAAAAACACAAAUUUUUAACAAAUUCGGUUGGGGCGACCGGGGAAAUUAUAAAUCAUCCCCCAAAUAAAGAUAAAUUAAUCUAAACUCUGACCCUUAAUCAAGAUCAACAGAUCAAGCUACCUUAGGGAUAACAGGCUAAUCCCACUAAAGAGUCCUUAUCAAUAGUGGGGGUUGGCACCUCGAUGUUGGCUUAGGGAAUCUAUGCGGCGCAAAAGUCACAUAAAGAUGGUUUGUUCAACCAAUAACACCCUACAUGAGCUGAGUUCAGACCGGCGUAAGCCAGGUUAGUUUCUAUCCUCGAUAAAACAAUCUAUUUAUAGUACGAAAGGACCUAAAUAAGAAUAAUAAUUAUAGCUAAAGAAUAAAUAUAAAACAUAUUUAAACUAAAUAUUCAUAAACUA